rnacentral:rRNA from 1 species
CCUACGGGGGGCUGCAGUGGGGAAUAUUGGACAAUGGGCGAAAGCCUGAUCCAGCCAUGCCGCGUGUGUGAAGAAGGCCUUCGGGUUGUAAAGCACUUUCAGUGGGGAAGAAAGCCUUGGGGCUAAUACCCUCGAGGAAGGACAUCACCCACAGAAGAAGCACCGGCUAACUCCGUGCCAGCAGCCGCGGUAAUACGGAGGGUGCGAGCGUUAAUCGGAAUUACUGGGCGUAAAGCGCGCGUAGGCGGUCUGAUAAGCCGGUUGUGAAAGCCCCGGGCUCAACCUGGGAACGGCAUCCGGAACUGUCAGGCUAGAGUGCAGGAGAGGAAGGUAGAAUUCCCGGUGUAGCGGUGAAAUGCGUAGAGAUCGGGAGGAAUACCAGGGGCGAAGGCGGCCUUCUGGACUGACACUGACGCUGAGGUGCGAAAGCGUGGGUAGCAAACAGGAUUAGAUACCUAGUAGUC